rnacentral:tRNA from 1 species
UCCCUUGUAGCUCAGUUGGUAAAGAAUCUGCCUGCAGUGCAGAAGACCUGGGUUCAAUCCCUGGGUGGGGAA